rnacentral:rRNA from 1 species
AUUGAACGCUGGCGGCAGGCCUAACACAUGCAAGUCGAGCGGAUGAAGGGAGCUUGCUCCUGGAUUCAGCGGCGGACGGGUGAGUAAUGCCUAGGAAUCUGCCUGGUAGUGGGGGAUAACGUCCGGAAACGGGCGCUAAUACCGCAUACGUCCUGAGGGAGAAAGUGGGGGAUCUUCGGACCUCACGCUAUCAGAUGAGCCUAGGUCGGAUUAGUUAGUUGGUGGGGUAAAGGCCUACCAAGGCGACGAUCCGUAACUGGUCUGAGAGGAUGAUCAGUCACACUGGAACUGAGACACGGUCCAGACUCCUACGGGAGGCAGCAGUGGGGAAUAUUGGACAAUGGGCGAAAGCCUGAUCCAGCCAGGCCGCGUGUGUGAAGAAGGUCUUCGGAUUGUAAAGCACUUUAAGUUGGGAGGAAGGGCAGUAAGUUAAUACCUUGCUGUUUUGACGGUACCAACAGAAUAAGCACCGGCUAACUUCGUG